AAUCAACGCUGGCGGCGUGCCUAACACAUGCAAGUCGAACGCGAAAGUCCCGCAAGGGAUUAGUAGAGUGGCAAACGGGUGAGUAACACGUGGGUGACCUGCCUUCGAGCGGGGGAUAACGUCCCGAAAGGGACGCUAAUACCGCAUAAUAUCCUGCCUUUUAAGAGGUGGUGAUCAAAGCCGGGGAUUCGCAAGAACCUGGCACUUGAAGAGGGGCCCGCGCCUGAUUAGCUAGUUGGGGGGUAAUGGCCUACCAAGGCAACGAUCAGUAUCCGGCCUGAGAGGGCGGACGGGACACACUGGGACUGAGACACGGCCCAGACUCCUACGGGAGGCAGCAGUGGGGAAUUGUUCGCAAUGGGCGCAAGCCUGACGACGCAACGCCGCGUGGAGGAUGAAG
rnacentral:rRNA from 1 species